AUGAAUCUGCUUGGUAUUGUAGCUGUUCAGCGUGCUCACAGCAGACAACGCUCUGGAAUUGAUUGGUUGAGAGAUGGAGAUGCCAACACUUCCUUCUUCCAAGCAAAAGCUUCGGCAAGACUACAAAAGAAUUUUGUGCUAAAUUUGCUGCACAAUGGGGCAGUUGUCACUAGCCAAGAAGAGAAAUUGCACGCUGUUUGGGAGCAUUUCUCCUCGGUUUUGGGUUCUAGAACUCAAAGAAGCUGCUGCAUAAACUUUGCUGCUCUUGGCAUCAACCCUAUUGAUUUAAGCAGUAUUGACGGACCCUUCUCGGAAGAUGAAGUGAGAGCUGCUGUUAUGGAUCUGAACCCCAGAAAAGCACCCGGCCCCGAUGGUUACACGGCACUGUUUUUCCAGAAUUGCUGGGAUAUAAUAAAAAAUGACAUAAUGUGUGCAAUCAAAGCUUUUUAA
rnacentral:rRNA from 1 species